UUAGAGACAGGUGCUGCAUGGCUGUCGUCAGCUCAUGCCGUGAGUGUGGGUUAAGUCCCGCAACGAGCGCAACCCCUAUUUUAGUUGCCAUCAGGUUAAGCUGGGCACUCUAAAGAGACUGCCGUCGAUAAGGCGGAGGAAGGUGGGGACGACGUCAAGUCAUCAUGGCCCUUAUGUCUAGGGCUACACACGUGCUACAAUGGGUUAUACAGAGGGCAGCUAGCUCGCGAGAGUCUGCGAAUCCCUUAAAGUAAUCCUCAGUUCGGAUUGUAGUCUGCAACUCGACUACAUGAAGUUGGAAUCGCUAGUAAUCGCAGGUCAGCAAAACUGCGGUGAAUACGUUCCCGGGCCUU
rnacentral:rRNA from 1 species